rnacentral:rRNA from 1 species
CCCUUAGAUGUUCUGGGCGGCCCGCGCACUACAUUGGCACUCUCAAUAAGUUCCUAGAUCUAAAACUUUGGGGUAUCCUAUUAAGUGGUGUCGUGACUGGGAUUAACCCUUGCAAUUAUUGGUUACGAACGAGGAAUUCCUUGUAAUCGCGGUUUAUCAGCCCGCGUUGAAUGCGUCCCUGCCCUUUGUACACACCGCCCGUCGCUCCUACCGAUGAAUCGUCCGGUGAAGUUCAUGGAGUGGUGGUUGUUCCAGCUGCUGUCGAAGUGAAAUGGACCUCACGAUUUAGAGGAAGGAGAAGUCGUAACA